GUCCCACAUUUUUUUUCAUUGUUUCAAGUUUAGUCCCUUCCCCUUCCCCACGUUUUGAUUCUCAUGGUUUCAGCUUCUAUUCUACUGUUUCACUCACGGUUUCAUCUUCCUGAUCUACGGUUUCAGCUUCUGUUUUGGCUUCUAAUGGCAACCUCUUUGUCUUCCUUCCUUCCUUCCUCUCUUGACAUCUAUAUAAAUACUAACGUAAGCGGGGUGGUUCAAUUGAGGUCAUAGUGACAUUAUUAUGUAGAUAUAGUUGGGCAGAAAUUAGAAUGAAUCUGCUGGAAAGUCCGCCUAUUUGCUAAAUUACCAAUUCUGAAAGAAAAUACCAUUGCUUUUAUCUCCUAUGUGCCACACCACCUUAGGGAGGAUUUGAUAUGAUAUGCAGUAGGAGAGACAAGAUUGAAACUCCAAAGCAUUUAAGCAAGCAGAAGAAACAGCAUUGAAGCUUGAUUUGGACAGGCGUUAAUAUGUUGUUACUUAUGCAGUGAGCCACAUCAAGUGCAAUUUCUACUCAUUAUAAUGUCUAUCAAUAUUGUAUGCUUUGUUUGAGGACCCAGGUUGUGUUGUAAAGCUGUUUGUACCAUAAAGUUGUUCAUUUCCCUGCCUUUGUAUUGAUUAAUAACAGCAGCUAGAUAAAUGUGUGGCCUAGCAAAAUGCCACAUGUUGAAGUUAUCAUUUCUUUAAACUUUAAAGUUCAUCUGUUAAGGCAACAUGGAGCAGUUGUAAGUUAUUAAUGAAAAGAGAAUAUGGACGCACUAA